GAGUUAUUUUCUUCCUUGCAAGCAGCCGGUGUGUCUUCGUGCCGGACUGGAUGAACGAUGAUCGUUUUUAUUUUCUUUUGAUGAGAAGGAAAAAUAUAACGAAGAAGAGUGUUUGGCAAAUUUCUAAAUCCAGAGUUCACAUUGAGCAGCACAUUGAGCAGAGUGGAUCAGCUCAUUGUGUUUUUCAUCAUUGUGAGAAACCUCUCAGAAAAUUCGACUAUCGGCGCGCAGUAAAAGAGCGAGCAGUAGAUAUUCUAUCGCAGUGCGCGCAGUUCUAGAAAGCUUGAGCUCACAUUGUGCUUUUAGAACACAUUGUGCUGUUUUGAGGAGUAUAACACCCCUGCUGGAGGCAUUCCUUGAUAUAGUUCUGUGUGUUCAUUGUUUCCGAUGUGGCGUACGCACUCGCAAAUUUUCUGCCUCACCAUCACCUUCUUGCCUAUUUUUUCGGUAAAAAGGCCUUCUCCGUUUCGGGGAUAUUCUUGUUCUUGCGUACAGUGAGGUACUGUGGCCCAGGAAGGGUUUUAUAGUCCAAUUUCACAUACGAUUCAUCGUCCAUGAUAAUGCACCCAGAACUUUUGCAAAAUAUUGAAUCAUACAGUUUCCGGGCUCUUGGUUCGACAGAAGCGGCUUGAUUUGGGUUUUUUUAGACUUUUUCUGCUUCCGGGUCUUGAGCCCAAGUCGCUCUUUAGCACGCAUCACGUUAGACGUCGAGGUCCCGAUUUUUCUCGCCGCAUCCCGAACGGAAGCCGAUGGUUUCUGUUUGUAGGCAUCGAUAUCAGGACUUACAGGACCAGAUUUUCGCCUCUCCUCGAUUCAUCUUCAAAUGUACGAUGUUCACCAUAUUUUUUUAUAGCUGCCCUGUUUUCUCAAUGAAAAUAUGAAAAAUAUCGUGGACAAGUGGUCUACUGUGAGUGGAAUCACAGUAGACCACUUGUCCACGAUAUUUUUUACCUUCUCCGGAGUAAGACCACGCAUUUUGAAAAGUAAUCACAAACUAAAUGUUUUUUUUUUCAUUUUAUCGCGUACAGAAAUGUGUAAACAAAAGGACGCAGCCAGUAGAAUUUGAAAAAACUAUUCGAUUCAAAAUGACCGUUAUCAUUAGGUGUGCUUAUAAUUUCUGGAACAGUCUAUAAUACAAAGUUUAGGAAAAUUCCGAUCCGGCCCUGCGCCCCGGAUUUAUUCACUUUAUAUGCCCAAUAAAUAUUGUAUUUUUUUUAUUUAUGCGUUCAAAACGAAAGUCUUAUGAAAAUAGUCAUGAAAAGAUUUUCGGAAGCUUAAAUACGAUUUCAAAUCUGCUGAUUAUUUUGAUGGAAAUUUUUUCAUCAAGUAUUUUUCUUGAUUUUUGUUGAGUAAUUGCUGGGUUUUGAUCAAAUUGGCUCGGAUAUUGACCGGAUUUUUAGUCGACAAGUCGAUUUUGGCAAGUUUUUAGAAAAAAUAGCUCGGGUUUGUCCGGCCCGGAUCACUGCUAAAAAAAUUCUGACAACCUUACUCUAAAACAACAAUAAUGCCAAAAAGUACGAAAAAGUGAACUCAUAAGCAUCCCAGAUUGUUUGGAUUUAUCCGGGCUCGCCCGGCUUAUCAAGGAAAUUUUCAAGAAAAGUCCGGUCAGGAUGCCCGAAUAUUGUAGAAAACUACUAGGAUUUUUCCCGGUUCUAUUCCCAUUAUUUGGAAAACUAAACACAAAAAAUCAAAUCAAGUUUUGAAUUGAUUGUCAAAAAACGGAUUCGUGGAAGUUUGUUUCAUAAAAAAACCAAACCAAUUUUCUUUUCGGAUGCUUCAAACACCUGCUGAUGUGCUGCGACAAGAAGAACAUAAUUUUAAAUAAUUUUUUUUCACUUUUGCCUUGAUUUUUUUUUGGAUUAUGAUCUGAAAUUUUCUCAGAUUUGCCGAAUAUUGGCUGGUUUUUCGAAUAGAAAACUUUUAAUUGUGUACCCGGUUUUCAUCAAGUUUUUAGAAAUAAAUUGCCAAAAAUGGCCCGGCCCGGCUACGUGCAAAAAUAAUUCAUGGAUGCGAAUGCUAAUCCUACACUGGAAUCCUCUUUGACUUAUACACUGUACCGCAUGUCAAACGUAGGAGGGCUAUAUGUAGAAAACAUUCAUGCAUUGAAAACAUUCUGGUCCGCAGCAGCACCGCUAGAGCGCAAUUUUCUAGUCAGCGAUUUCCACCCGCCCGACAGAGCAACCACAAUCGAGCGCACUCGGCCAAAGUGUAGAGAAUGUCUAUCAGAAUCCGAACGAUAAAAGCUCUCUUCUAUUUGGCCUUUAUUCUGCACCGCGCGUGACGUGACGAUAGUCGAGUCACCCAAGUCAAUCUAUUCCAGUAGUCCUUUAGAUGAGGAACGUCACUUCGGAUGAACUUUGUGAGUUCUUACUCUAUUCUCGUAGUCACCGUGGGUGAGAAUCGUCACAUUCGGGUGACGUUUUUAGGUGACAAUUGUCUGUACCUUUUCAGGUGGUGACAAGAUAGAAAUGAAAUUAAAAAUAACGAAAAUUACUAUAAAGCGGAGUUGUUAGUUGUUGAAAUUCAAUCCAAAAUUUUUACCCACCAUGUUUAAAUGUUUAAAAUCAUCAAUAAAUUUGACCGCACCUCGAUGAUGAACGGCAUCCUCCCGAGCGUAGCUGGUAUUUUCGUUCGUGUACGUUCCGAGCAGCUCGAUCAUGGUCAGAUCACUGUUUGUAUCCUCGAGGACGUCGUGCAACAGUCUUACAGCUUUUGCAUCUGCUCAUUCGAUGGCGGACACUGAGUGAAUUGAACCUUCAGCUGAUCGACUCUGGAGAAGACUUCCUUUACCUGAUCGCACUGCUUGGUCACCUGAAUCAGCGGGGAAGUGUGUUCCAGAUUGCUAAACAUACGCCACUAAGAUUGCAAGCAAACACGAGCUAGGGCCGAUUCCUGGGGCCUGCUAAUUUUUUCGCAGAAAGCCAAAAUAAGAUUUUCGCCCUGUUCCAGCGGAACGGAAACGAUAAUCGACACCACCGCAUUCAGGACCGUGUCACAUCGCAGACGUCGAUGAUUUUGUGGAAAUCAUCUUUAAUUCCCUUGGAAGACUUGUCCUCGCUGAUUUCCGCUCCCAGUUUUUUGAAAAAAAAUCCCGAGCUCUUGGGCCUGGUCCUCGCGAACACUGGAAAAUUUUACGCAGCAAAAAAAACAGAAACAUCAGUUUGACAGUUCGGGUUUCAUCCCGUCACUCAGCCUGGAAUGAAUAUCUGUCACUGGCUCUCACCUUGCUGUAAGCUCACUUACACUGACUGUCGGAAUGAGGUGACAAGAGUCGAAUGAUGAUGGGGUGACUCGACAAUCGUCACGUCACGCCCGGCGCAGAAUAAGGGCCUUUCACUGACAAAACAUCUCACUCAUUAGUGUGUCAAAUUUCACACAUUUUGGAAAUAAGUAGACCAACGCAUUAAAUGUGUGACGGUACUGCUGCACAUUAAUGUAAAACACCCUGUAAGGAAAAGAAAUGUGUGCGUUCCACACAUUAUGCAGAAAGCGUUGAAAACGGGAAAAUGUGUGAAAUAAUAAAGCGACUGAAAAGAAAAAUGUGUAAAAUGAAGAAAAUGGAAGAGGGCCGCUAUUUUUAGGCACGACCAAAUGAAAUGCUGGUGGUUUUUAAAAGUAUUUUUUUUUUAAUCAAUUUAAGAUUUUCAUCAUUUUUCGGUUUUUGAGGAAACUCAUCUUCAAUUUUUGCCAAACAAUUUCUCCAUUGGCACCGCCAGCAAUCAGCGGGCUGAAUCCGAAAUCUAGAAAAUAAAAAUUAUAAUAAAUUAUUAGGUUGAUGUUUAAAGUUUGAAUAAUGACCAACUUACAUCCGAUUCGUUACGACGAUUCAGCCGUAUAAAUUCUUCGACGUAGUUUGAACAUGGCUGACACCAAAUUGAUUGAGAAAACAACAAGUGUGAUUUCACCCACUUUCAUCUUAUCCAGACUGAUCCGGAUAAUGUGUAAAUUUCGAAUCUGCAUGGUGUGGAAAAAUCACAAACCGGUUUGACAGCUCCAUAUGUUCUCCGAUAAUGUGUGGAAUAUUUUUGCAUAAUGUGUGAAAUGAUUUAUCAGUGUUGUGAGGUGUAGACCAAGGUGCUCACAGCUAGAGUGUAAGCAUUUUGAGGAAAAGUAGGCGAAGGGUACCAUAAGUUUCUCAGUGGUGGAGGGCAAGGUUAUUUAAUUUACUAGGUUCUCUGACUUUUGCAGUAAGUAGGCGAGGAGUGCGCGGUGAAGUGGUGAAGAGCUCGUUAUCUUUGUUUACAAAUAUUAGAAACAGUUUUCGGUCGUAUUUCUUAAAAUAUUAUGGUGUCUCUCUGCGCAGUUAAAAGCUUUCUAAAUAAGCGGUCGGUCAUCAAACACGGUGGAAAAAUUGUGUACCUGAAGUUUCCUAAAAACAGGGAACAAUUCAGGGCGUGGACAAUAUUCUUUGACCAUGGGGAAGGAUGGAUACCAAAGUCCAAUCAAGGUAUCUGUUCAGGGCACUUCGAGUCAAAUUGUUUUUGUUCAUUUCAAUUUGGGCAGAAUGUUCUUGAUUCCGAAAUGGCAGGGACGUUCCAAAAGCUGUGCCAAGUCUCUGCGAACCGCAACCUCUGCGAUCUGAGGCAGUCUUUGCAGUUGCAAUGGACGAUUUCCUCAACGCUGGAUCUCAUCCUGAUUUAGGAUGCAAAACAUCCAAGAUGAACGCGACCCUCGGUAUAGCUGCCAUGCCUCAGAAACUUGUCGGAUUCAGGUCAUGGGCAAAGCCAUAAAAACAUUUUUGAUCUGUGUCACAGAACUUCGGGCUUAUCCUUACAGUUUUUAAACUCUAUAAUGAUUUAAGUCUAUUCUUGUUUAGUUUAAAUAGCAGAAAAUAAAACACAAUGUAUUUUCAACUGAUUAUUAAUUAUUUAAAAAAAACUUUUACUGUAAUGACCAUCAACUUACAAGCAUUACAUGAAUGUCUCCUUUUCCGGCUUUUUAUUUUGCCUUCUGAUUUGGAACAUGCAUAGAAACUCAUUAUUGAUUGGUGUUUUACUUAGUCACUAGCGGCAUCACCAUACCGUAUUCAUAUGUUUCCUACGGCAAUUUAACAGUUCAAG